rnacentral:rRNA from 1 species
AUGCCAUACAAGCAUCUCGACAAGCAUAUGAAUAAGCAUCUCAACAAGCAACUCCUCAAGCAUCUCGACAAGCAUCUCAACAAGCAACUCCUCAAGCAUCUCAACAAGCAACUCCUCAAGCAUAUCAACAAGCAUCUCGACAAGUGGAGUGCAGUUGAGGUCUGGGACAACCAUCUUCUGCUGCUUUCAGUUCAUUCCUCUCUUUGCUACGUGGUCAUUGUUUCAGGACAGAUCGAGUUCGUUUCCAGCGACAGCAGAGAGAUGUACUCCAGCAGAGGAUCAAAUGAUCAGAGAGAGAGGAGAUGA